rnacentral:rRNA from 1 species
AGCAGCCGCGGUAAUUCCAGCUCCAAUAGCGUAUAUUAAAGUUGUUGCAGUUAAAAAGCUCGUAGUUGAAUUUCGGGAUCAAGUCGUCGGUCGUGCUCAGGUACGUACUGGCGUCAUUGAUUUCUCCCUUCUGACGAACCAUGAUGUCAUUAAUUUGGUGUUAUGGGAAAUCAGGACUGUUACUUUGAAAAAAUUAGAGUGUUUAAAGCAGGCUCACGCUUGAAUACAUUAGCAUGGAAUAAUGAAAUAGGACGUUCGAUCCUAUUUUGUUGGUUUUAGGAUCAACGUAAUGAUUAAUAGGGAUAGUUGGGGGCAUUAGUAUUCAAUUGUCAGAGGUGAAAUUCUUGGAUUUAUUGAAGACUAACUACUGCGAAAGCAUUUGCCAAGGAUGUUUUCAUUAAUCAAGAACGAAAGUUAGGGGAUCGAAGACGAUCAGAUACCGUCGUAGUCUUAACCAUAAACUAUGCCGACUAGGGAUCGGAUGAUGUUAAUUUUUAAUGACUCAUUCGGCGCCUUAAC